UACGUAGGGACCAAGCGUUGUCCGGAAUCAUUGGGCGUAAAGAGCGUGUAGGCGGCUUGUUAAGUCUUGCGUGAAAUCUCGGGGCUCAACCCCGAGCGGUCGUGAGAAACUGGCAGGCUAGAGUGCGGGAGAGGAGAGUGGAAUUCCUGGUGUAGCGGUGAAAUGCGCAGAUAUCAGGAGGAACACCGGUGGCGAAGGCGGUUCUCUGGGAAUGUCCUGACGCUGAGGAGCGAAAGUGUGGGGAGCGAACAGG
rnacentral:rRNA from 1 species